rnacentral:miRNA from 15 species
ACAAACCUUGCCACGUUCCGAC